UAACGCGUGGAUAACCUGCCGUAUACAGGGGGAUAACACUUAGAAAUAGGUGCUAAUACCGCAUAAGCGCACGGUUCCGCAUGGAACAGUGUGAAAAACUCCGGUGGUAUACGAUGGAUCCGCGUCUGAUUAGCCAGUUGGCGGGGUAACGGCCCACCAAAGCAACGAUCAGUAGCCGGCCUGAGAGGGUGAACGGCCACAUUGGGACUGAGACACGGCCCAAACUCCUACGGGAGGCAGCAGUGGGGAAUAUUGCACAAUGGGGGAAACCCUGAUGCAGCGACGCCGCGUGAGUGAAGAAGUAUUUCGGUACGUAAAGCUCUAUCAGCAGGGAAGAAAAUGACGGUACCUGACUAAGAAGCCCCGGCUAACUACGUGCCAGCAGCCGCGGUAAUACGUAGGGGGCAAGCGUUAUCCGGAUUUACUGGGUGUAAAGGGAGCGUAGACGGCAGGGCAAGUCUGGAGUGAAAGGCAGGGGCCCAACCCCUGGACUGCUCUGGAAACUGUCCGGCUGGAGUGCAGGAGAGGUAAGUGGAAUUCCUAGUGUAGCGGUGAAAUGCGUAGAUAUUAGGAGGAACACCAGUGGCGAAGGCGGCUUACUGGACUGUAACUGACGUUGAGGCUCGAAAGCGUGGGGAGCAAACAGGAUUAGAUACCCUGGUAGUCCACGCCGUAAACGAUGAGUACUAGCUGU
rnacentral:rRNA from 1 species